AAAACUGGUUCAAACCGGUUUCGUUCUUAUAUUUCAGUGUAUAAACUACAAAAACAUUCGUUUGCAUUAUACAUUCGCCAUUUUACACAGCGACUGGUUGGUUGUUGUGUGUCAUCUCUCCGCGAAAAAGCCAAAUUUUACGUAAAUUUUUUCUGAGCUUUCCGUUCAUUUCCUGCCAGCAACAUGGGCAAAACGAAGCAAAUUGUGCCCCCUGAGCAAAGAAGAUGUUCGCCACGGCUGGCCUUGAAACCUAAAGCGGCACCAGUGGAGACUAAGAAAAAAGCUGCAGCAAAAAAGGGACCCAAAGCAAAGAAGGCCAAACCAGCUGAGAACGGGAGCACCAAGGCUGAGGAGCCAAAGGCCGAAGCCACUGAAGCCAAAUGAAUAACGGUCGAUGUGCUCACUCUGUGUACUUGGUGAUUGUACAGUUUUAAAUAAGUAUUUUUUACCAAGUUUUAUAUUACAAAUGUCAUUUAUAGGUUUGUUUUGGGCUUGCACUUGAUGUAACAAAACUUUGUCGUCACAUUCAUAUCCAUUUUAUAUCGAUUUAAAAACGAUACCGUCCAUAUCUUGUAGAAGUGGCAUUUUUAGUUUGUCUAAUCCUGUUUUUUUUAUUUUAAACUGCUGAAUAAUAGAUAUUUUCCAACAAGUUGGAUUUUAAAUCUAAUUUUAAACAUAAGGCAGCUAAAGAAUAUUGUUAAAAUUUGAGGGAGAAUAGGAAUUUUACCUUUUAUCCCUUGUAUUUUAAUGUUUAACUAAUGACAAGAUUUGCUUACCAAAUGUUUUGAAACACUGUAUGUCGACAUUAGAUGUAGUCAGUGAAAAUGCCACAGAAAAAUACUGUUAUUAGGUCAAAAGUUUGAUACAUCCCAAAAACAUGUAUGAUGUGAACCUGAUCAUCUGAUAUAAAGUUCUGUUAAGUUAUGUUUCUGUUAGGGGAAAGGAAGCUUUUCUGACUUCAUGGUUGAUCUAAAUGUUCUUGAAUAAAAAUUUUCAAAAUGUCA